rnacentral:rRNA from 1 species
CCCUUAGAUGUUCUGGGCCGCACGCGUGCUACACUGAGUGGAUCAGCGGGUCAGGUUGCGCGAAAGUGUUUCCUAAUCUUGAAAUCCGCUCGUGAUGGGGAUUGACGGUUGCAAUUUUCCGUCAUGAACGAGGAAUACCUUGUAAGCGCGGGUCAUCAUCCCGCGCUGAAUACGUCCCUGCCCUUUGUACACACCGCCCGUCGCUCCUACCGAUUGAGUGGUCCGGUGAGGCUUUGGGAUCUGAGCAAAAAGAGCGUUUCGCUGUUUCUGCCCGGAAAACUCAGUCGAACCUUAUCAUUUAGAGGAAGGAGAAGUCGUAACA